rnacentral:rRNA from 1 species
UGGGGAAUUUUGGACAAUGGGGGCAACCCUGAUCCAGCCAUCCCGCGUGUGCGAUGAAGGCCUUCGGGUUGUAAAGCACUUUUGGCCGGGAAGAAACAGCCUGGGCUAAUAUCCCGGGCGACUGACGGUACCUGCAGAAUAAGCACCGGCUAACUACGUGCCAGCAGCCGCGGUAAUACGUAGGGUGCAAGCGUUAAUCGGAAUUACUGGGCGUAAAGCGUGCGCAGGCGGUUCGGAAAGAAAGGUGUGAAAUCCCAGGGCUUAACCUUGGAACUGCACUUUUAACUACCGGGCUAGAGUACGUCAGAGGGCGGUACAAUUCCACGUGUCGCAGUGAAAUGCGUAGAGAUGUGGAGGAAUACCGAUGGCGAAGGCAGCCCCCUGGGAUGAUACUGACGCUCAUGCACGAAAGCGUGGGGAGCAAACA